GUCCUUAUAGUUUUAAUGGUAAAACGUAGCAAUGGUAAUGCUAAAAUACAAGUUCGAUUCUUGUUAAGGGCA
rnacentral:tRNA from 1 species